GAUGAACGCUGGCGGCGUGCCUAACACAUGCAAGUCGAGCGAUCUUCUUCGGAAGAGAGCGGCGGACGGGUGAGUAACGCGUGGGUAACCUGCCCUGUACACACGGAUAACAUACCGAAAGGUAUGCUAAUACGAGAUAAUAUGCUUUUGUCGCAUGGUAGAAGUAUCAAAGCUCCGGCGGUACAGGAUGGACCCGCGUCUGAUUAGCUAGUUGGUAAGGUAACGGCUUACCAAGGCGACGAUCAGUAGCCGACCUGAGAGGGUGAUCGGCCACAUUGGAACUGAGACACGGUCCAAACUCCUACGGGAGGCAGCAGUGGGGAAUAUUGCACAAUGGGCGAAAGCCUGAUGCAGCAACGCCGCGUGAGCGAUGAAGGCCUUGGUCGUAAAGCUCUGUCCUCAAGGAAGAUAAUGACGGUACUUGAGGAGGAAGCCCGGCGUAACUACGUGCCAGCAGCCGCGGUAAU
rnacentral:rRNA from 1 species